GGUGAAGACAAUAUUCAGCUUGACAGCUCACUAAAUUUCUGAUGUCAGGUCAAAGUGAGAAAGCUUUUCAAACUACAAGAAAGUUCAAUGAAGGCUUCUUCUGCACAUGGGACUGUGAGACUACCCCUUGGAUGAUUCAAAGCCAAACUCCUCUUCAGUCUACUUUAUCAGUUCUUGAAAUGAAGGGUGCUUUAAGAAUGAAACAGGAAUUAUAAACCAGCCUCUUUUGGGAUUCACCUACAUAAACAACAAGAUGGCCUUUGGUUAUUUAUGCAGCUGCUGUCACCUUUUGGAUAGUAAUAUGCUUAGUGUGAACAUAUUUGAUGUUACCUUUUGGAUAAAAAAAUCUGCUAUUUGAUGUUACAUUCCGUCAUUUGUAUAUUUGUCUCCAUAUACAUGAUUGGAGUUUAGAGUACUUGAAAAUUUUCUUGAAUUUGAGCAAUGUCGAUUAACCAUAUUUCAUAGAACCUAGUAAGUAAAAAGAAUGAUGUGGGAAAGACGUCCAUAUUAAGCAAGUUUACUUUCUGAUAAAACUAAUCAGCAUGUAUCAUGAACUUAUCUCUCUUUUACUUUUC